rnacentral:rRNA from 1 species
AGUCGGACGGUAACAGGGAUUGCUUGCAAUCCGCUGACGAGUGGCGCACGGGUGCGCAACGCGUAUAGAACCUACCCUUUACAGGGGGAUAGCCCAGAGAAAUUUGGAUUAAUACCCCGUAGUACCUAUUAGAGGCAUUUCUAAUAGGUUAUAGUUUUCGAACGGUAAAGGAUGGCUAUGCGUCUUAUUAGCUAGUAGGUAAGGUAACGGCUUACCUAGGCUACGAUAAGUAGGGGCCCUGAGAGGGGGAUCCCCCACACUGGUACUGAGACACGGACCAGACUCCUACGGGAGGCAGCAGUGAGGAAUAUUGGACAAUGGGCGGAAGCCUGAUCCAGCCAUGCCGCGUGCAGGAAGACGGCCCUAUGGGUUGUAAACUGCUUUUAUACGGGAAGAAUAAGGGAUACGUGUAUCCUGGUGACGGUACCGUAAGAAUAAGGACCGGCUAACUCCGUGCCAGCAGCCGCGGUAAUACGGAGGGUCCGAGCGUUAUCCGGAAUUAUUGGGUUUAAAGGGUCCGCAGGCGGGCAAUUAAGUCAGAGGUGAAAUGGUGCGGCUCAACCGUAGCACUGCCUUUGAUACUGGUUGUCUUGAGUCAUGGUGGAGUGGCCGGAAUAUGUAGUGUAGCGGUGAAAUGCAUAGAUAUUACAUAGAACACCGAUCGCGAAGGCAGGUCACUAACCAUGUACUGACGCUGAUGGACGAAAGCGUGGGGAGCGAACGGGAUUAGAUACCCCGGUAGUCCACGCCGUAAACGAUGGAUACUAGCUGUCCGCUGCCUUGAGCAGUGGGCGGCCAAGCGAAAGUGAUAAGUAUCCCACCUGGGGAGUACGUUCGCAAGAAUGAAACUCAAAGGAAUUGACGGGGGCCCGCACAAGCGGUGGAGCAUGUGGUUUAAUUCGAUGAUACGCGAGGAACCUUACCAGGGCUUAAAUGCAGAAUGACAGGUUUAGAGAUAGACUUUUCUUCGGACAUUUUGCAAGGUGCUGCAUGGUUGUCGUCAGCUCGUGCCGUGAGGUGUCAGGUUAAGUCCUAUAACGAGCGCAACCCCUGCCGUCAGUUGCCAGCAAGUAAUGUUGGGGACUCUGACGGGACUGCCGGUGCAAACCG